rnacentral:rRNA from 1 species
AGCGAACGCUGGCGGCAGGCCUAACACAUGCAAGUCGAACGGAUCCUUCGGGAUUAGUGGCGGACGGGUGAGUAACACGUGGGGACGUGCCCUUUGGUUCGGAACAACCCCGGGAAACUUGAGCUAAUACCGGAUGUGCCCUUCGGGGGAAAGAUUUAUCGCCAUUGGAGCGGCCCGCGUCUGAUUAGCUAGUUGGUGAGGUAACGGCCCACCAAGGCGACGAUCAGUAGCUGGUCUGAGAGGAUGAUCAGCCACACUGGGACUGAGACACGGCCCAGACUCCUACGGGAGGCAGCAGUGGGGAAUAUUGCGCAAUGGGCGAAAGCCUGACGCAGCCAUGCCGCGUGAAUGAUGAAGGUCUUAGGAUUGUAAAAUUCUUUCAGCGGGGACGAUAAUGACGGUACCCGCAGAAGAAGCUCUGGCUAACUUCGUG